UACGUAGGGUGCAAGCGUUAAUCGGAGUUACUGGGCGUAAAGCGUGCGCAGGCGGUUCUAUAAGACAGAUGUGAAAUCCCCGGGCUCAACCUGGGAACUGCAUUUGUGACUGUAGAGCUGGAGUACGGUAGAGGGGGAUGGAAUUCCGCGUGUAGCAGUGAAAUGCGUAGAUAUGCGGAGGAACACCGAUGGCGAAGGCAAUCCCCUGGACCUGUACUGACGCUCAUGCACGAAAGCGUGGGGAGCAAACAGG
rnacentral:rRNA from 1 species